UACGUGGGGAGCAAGCGUUGUUCGGAUUUACUGGGCGUAAAGGGCGGGUAGGCGGCCACCGCAGGUCAGUUGGGAAAUCUCUGGGCUUAACCCAGAAAGGGCAACUGAUACUGCGGGGCUAGAGUGCAGAAGGGGCAACUGGAAUUCUCGGUGUAGCGGUGAAAUGCGUAGAUAUCGAGAGGAACACCUGCGGCGAAGGCGGGUUGCUGGGCUGACACUGACGCUGAACUGCGAAAGCUAGGGGAGCGAACGGG
rnacentral:rRNA from 1 species